UACGUGAGGGGCGAGCGUUGUCCGGAUUUAUUGGGCGUAAAGAGCGUGUAGGCGGUUCGGUAAGUCUGUCGUGAAAUCCUAGAGGCUGCACCAUCCGGGCGGUGCAUGGAAUACUGCCGGGCUAGAGGGUGGUAGAGGCGAGUGGAAUUCCUGGUGUAGCGGUGAAAUGCGCAGAUAUCAGGAGGAACACCUAUUGCGAAGGCAGCUCGCUGGGACGUGACUGACGCUGAGACGCGAAAGCGUGGGAGCAACAGGAU
rnacentral:rRNA from 1 species